AUGUAUUGUGAUGUCUAUACAAAGGCUGCAGUGCUUCGGACAAGGAGCGGCAUCAUACUUCGGUGCACCUCUCAAGUAUCAGCUUUCCUUGCCCUUGUGUUCUUCUUCACAGUUGGCAACAAACAGAGGUACAAUAGAGUCGACAUUGCAAUCACAUACAUGUUAUUUAUGGGAUGCUUUUUUCUGGAAGUUUGUGCAAUGUUUAUGAUGGUCAUUGUAUCACCUUGGACGUGGGCUUGGCUUAAGGCUAAGAAGUGGGUUCGGCUCACUCGCUUGUCCUGGACGCUUUUCUCCGGUAAUACUAUUGGAUGGCCAGAGGAGAAGAUGUUGUGGUCAAACAACAUGGGCCAGUACAAUUUUCUGAUCUAUGUGGGCUGCGAGGAAAAGCCAAGUACUCCGUCCAUGUCGGAACGAGUGAUGACCAGGAUCAGGAAGAUCACAAAAGCAGUUGGUGCUGGAGAGGACAAGUUGUUUUGGUUAAGCAAGUCAUUAGAUACGAAGUACGAGGAGGUGGAUGCGGAUAUCACAGAUAGUUUUCUGAAGGACAUUGAAGUCAUUCUCCAAUCCCCUUUCGGAGGAGGACCGAGUAGGCUGUGGCAACAUCUUAGUGUGAAUAACAUGGCACGGGAAUUUUCUAGAGAUUUUAGUGCAGUCAUGAUCAAUUUGCAUAUAUCAACAAUAAUACACCUCAGUGAGGUUUCAAGUGUGGAUGUGGAAAUAGUUGCCUUGGUUGGUGUCUGCCGGAAACUAUCCAAUUAUAUGAUGUAUCUCCUUGCUACACACCCUGUUAUGUUGCAGGUCACUGCAACCAGUGCCAAAUCAGUACUACAAGGCUUUCGUAAGAAGUUUAUGAUGAUGAUGACUGGCAGCAUCAGCAAGCCUGUGGUUCUACAAAAUCUCAAAGAGUUGAUAUCGAAGGAGGAUUCCAGGUUGUCUUUGCCCGAACCAUGCAAAGAAACACUGGAGGAGAUGAGAGAUAUGUGGGUGAGGAUUAUCAUAUAUGCCGCUGGCAGGUCGCGGCCAGAGACGCAUGCGACACAGCUGGCCAGAGGACGGGAAUUCCUUACCUUCAUCUGGCUGCUCUUGGCACACAAAAAUCUUGGGUCUUCCACGUCCUUUCCAAUCGAACUUAUUAGCCCACCUCCAAAUUUUGGGCCUUACAGUGAUGUACGAAGUUAUGCCUUUGAUUUUCGCCAAAAUUGA
rnacentral:rRNA from 1 species